UCCCUUAUUUUCCAAAAAAAAAACAGAGAAACCUCUCUCUCUCUCUCUUUCAAAACCCAGAAUCCGGCUGGCCAGCUCACCAAACCACUGCGUCGGCCGUCGGUCGCCAGCGACGGCGCCGCCGUACGCGGUGGUCGGGAAUCCAGAAACUCUCCGUUUUCCCUCGCUCUUUGCCGUUUCAAAUCCUAGGCCUCAGCCCAUUCAACUCCGAUUCACCCAGAGGAGAAGAAGGCUUCAUCGGCGCACCCACGAAGGUACUGGAGUACGGAGGUGGACGUGGCACGUACAGAGGCGCGCGUGAGGCCGAGGGAAAGCCCUGGUGGCUGCGGCGUUGGAGGCCAGCCAUUGCUGCUAGGGUUUCUGGUUCUUUUUCUGUUUUGGGCUAGAUGUAGUUGGGUUUAGGUUUGGGCUGAUUGGGUUUUCUGGAUAUUGGGUUAUGUGGGUAUUGUAAUUGGAUUUAGUGAUUGGGCUUCAAUACGAAUUUGGCCAUUGUAAUUGGACUAUUUUUUAUUGGGUUUAUGAUUGGUUUAUGGGCCGGGCAAAAAUGGGUAUUACAAUAUCAUAAAUGGAAAUUAAGGUGUUGAAUAACAAUAGGGAUAGUCUGAAGCAAUAACUUUGUAAUUUUUCCAAAGUUGAGGGCGUUACUGAAAUUUUACCAAAAUUGGGGCGCCACCUGACCGGAUUUAAAAGGAAAUAUAAAGGAAGAGGCGUGAAUCGAUAUUGGGCAAGAAAAGUAGAAUAA